GAGAGAGAGUUGAUGGGGGAUGAAGGGUAUGGGAGUGUAUGCUAUGGCUGCCUGCUGUCAAAGUUCUCCAGGAAUCAGCUGGCUGGAGGAAUUUUGGAAGGGGUGAGGCAUACACUUUCUCCUAUGUUCCUGAAACCACAACAUUGUUAGGACUCAUCUGUUCAUGAGACCAGACCAAUAAAAAAUGAGCACUUCGUGGAUAAAAAACACAGAUGGAAACUUAGUGAAAUGCGGCCUCCAGUGCUGGAGAUGGACCUAAUGGGGAGUGUUUGAGUCAUGAGAGAAUAUCCUUUAUGAAUGGCUUGGUGCGUUCCCUGUGGCCAUGAGUUACUACAAGAUCUGAUUGUUAAAAAAAGAUUCUAGGACUUCCUGUCCCUCUGUCUUGUUCCCUCUUUUACCACGUGACAUGCCUGCUUCCCCUUCACCUUCUGUCAUGAUUAUAAGCUUCCUGAGGUUCCCAUCAGAAGCAGAGUAGAUGCUGGUGUCAUGCUUGUACAGCCCAUGGAGCUGUGAACCAAAUAAACUUCUUUUCUUUAUAAAUUACCUAG
rnacentral:lncRNA from 1 species